AUUCUCUAGGUAGGAUGAGUUGAGACUAUCCUUUAGUCUCAAAAAUAUGUAAUGAUAUCAUUAAAACAUGUGAAUUAGAUAUAUAGUCAUAAUACAAUUUCUCAUAACAAAACAAGUGGGUUAUGCCUUUCAAUAACUAGGAAAUUUAAAAUAUUUAAAUGAAUGUUGUAGAAAUAAAUGAAAUGUUUCUACAAAAACAUGUUGAAAUUUAGACCUGAAGUAGUUUCAGAAAUUGAAGUUCAAAACUUGAGACAAAUUCAACAAAAAUCU
rnacentral:lncRNA from 7 species